rnacentral:tRNA from 1 species
CAAAUUAAAGCUUUUAUAGUUUUUCAUUUACAUUGAAAAGAAUCUUUUUAUUUAGAUAAUUUGA